ACCAGACUCCUACGGGAGGCAGCAGUGGGGAAUAUUGGGCAAUGGGGGAAACCCUGACCCAGCGACGCCGCGUGAGGGAAGAAGGUUUUCGGAUUGUAAACCUCUGUCCUUGGUGACGAUAAUGACGGUAGCCAAGGAGGAAGCCACGGCUAACUACGUGCCAGCAGCCGCGGUAAUACGUAGGGGGCAAGCGUUAUCCGGAUUCACUGGGCGUAAAGGGAGCGCAGGCGGCACGGCAAGUCUGAUGUGAAAACCCAGGGCUCAACUCUGGGACUGCAUUGGAAACUGCCGGGCUGGAGUGUCGGAGGGGUAAGCGGAAUUCCUAGUGUAGCGGUGAAAUGCGUAGAUAUUAGGAGGAACACCAGUGGCGAAGGCGGCUUACUGGACGACUACUGACGCUGAGGCUCGAAAGCGUGGGGAGCAAACAGGAUUAGAUACCCCCGUAGU
rnacentral:rRNA from 1 species